AUUAAUCAAAGGUAGGAAUGAAACAAUGUUAACUCUUUCCCCUUGUGUUUGUACAUUGAUACGAUCUUUUUAUAGUAUCAUCUACUGUUUCUCAAAUACAAUAUAUGCCUCAUAUAACUUACAAGAUAUCCAUUAAAUGAAGCAGGCACCUUUUCUCAUUCCCUGUGUGCUUUAUAAACAUAUUACAUUAUAUCAACCAUCUCCCAGUCAUAUCAGUUCUAGAGCUGUGUGGGUUAAAAAGAAGUAGUGAAAGUGUUAUGUCAGCUGAUUAUAGAAUGGCUUUCAUUUAUCCCAUUCCAAAAAGCAGCAAAUAAUACAUAUCAAUGCACUCUUUGUAGUUUAAGACACUUGCACAUAAAUGAUUCUCUCCUAAAGUUUUAAUAAUAUACAAUUAUCCAGUCUUCUAGUCUUGGUCUGUAAUGGAGGACUUGGAAAGCCGCUUGUGUAGUUGGCCUAUCUAUUCAGAAGUAUGGGCCAGUUUGCAGUACAUGGCACUAUCCCCACUCUAGAAUGUGGGUAUGUGUUUUGUUUUGUUUUUUUAAAUGUACAGUAGAAAGCAGUGGAGCUGUUCAGAGGUGCAGGAUGAAGAGCUCGCAUAAAAAGAAUGCAUAAUAAACAGAGGAGCUAUGAAAACUCUAAAUGAGCCGUAAACUCCCAGGCUUAAGAGGGGAAAUGUGAAGUGUCCCAAAUCACUGCUGUCUUU